rnacentral:snRNA from 1 species
AUCUGUUCUUAUCAGUUUAAUAUCUGAUACGUCCCCUACCCGGGGACCAUAUAUUAAAUUGAUUUUUGGAGCAGGGAGAUGGAAUCGGGGCUUGCUCCGUCCACUCCACGCAUCGACCUGGUAUUGCAGUAUUUCUAGGAACGGUGC